CGAGACUUAAUUUAAGUGAAUGUUGGUCUUGGGGGCCAAUUGUGGAGGAUAGAGUCCUUCAGUUUCGA
rnacentral:tRNA from 1 species